ensembl:lncRNA
GUAGAAAGCAGAAUUGAAGACUGAAGGAAAUAGAAACCUGACAGCUGGCGUGAGCCUGAAAGAAAAUAUACGUGUAACUCGAGGUUUCCAACUAAUGAGAGGACAAUUAGCAUGAUGAGACCUAACUGCUAUUUAUUUGGGACUAUAGCUGACGGUCAUUUGCCUGCCCUGUGAAGCAAACUCAGCUGCUGGCUCUUCACAUUUUGCGGCAGUGUGGUGAACCAAGUCUUUCUAUCUCAAACUGUUCUAACCUUGUUAGAUUUGGGUUUUUGAUUUUUUGUUGUUGUUGUUCUAGAUCUUGGUCAAAUUACAGAUUAUUGAACCUCUUCUGGUUCAUGGUUCAGCCCAUCUGAAGUUUUGGUAGCUGUCAGCAUGCCAUCCCUACCCCCUGCAUGGAUUGAGAGCCUUCGCCCAUUUCUCAGCCUGAAGCAAGCUUAGAUUGAAACCAUCGCCCCUGCUCCUGAUAUAAUUUGGACUGAUAAGGGGAUGGGAAAGUGAUUGAUGAAUUAUUGUUAAAAUUACAACUGUAUUACUGUAUAUUUAAGAUUUGGGAUGGAAAUUAUGUAACUAUUGCUGUUAUGAAUGUAUAGGAACUUUAUAUGUAGGAUUGUUAUUUGAUGUUUUAGCUUUGAAAUUCCCUUAUUCUGUUGGAAUUGCUCUGGCAGACUAUUCUCUAAUUGCCUGUUUUUAGGAAAUCUCCAAGAUAUAAACACCUGUCCUGGGACUGACAGUCUCCAGCCCUAAAACCCCACUUUCUUAAUUGGUAUCUCAGCAUUUUCAAAGGACAUUGCAAUUUUGAAAUCAGUCCUCUAAAGUUCGGGGUUUGCCUGCCUUCAUGAUCUAAUUGUGCAUAUGCUGCUCAGAAAUCUGGAUCCUUUCUGGAUCCUAGUAGCAGUUCCUGUUCUUCUGAGCGGGGACAGGUAGAGCUACUCCAGGCCCCACUCUUUCUCUCUUUGGAGUCCCUGACAGACUUGGGGUGCCCCUCCUAGCAUGGGCAGCAUGAUUGUCUUGAGCACAGCUACUCUAUAUAUAAGUAGAGACUGAGUUAAGUGCACAAAUGACUGCAGGCCACCUUACACAGUGAACUGUACAUCUCAAACUAGAUUCUAUGGCUGAGAUGAGGACCUUUGUACUAUUGAUAACUCAGAUUAUUAGGGAGAGACUUCCUUUUGCCCCAAGUUCUUGCAUUUUCUAGUUUUAUUUUGAUUUUAUUUGCUUCACAUUUGGGUUGGUCAAAAUUAUGGUACUGAGACCUCCCAGGUAUCUAGAGGAGGUAAUUCAAUAAUUCAGAUAUUCAGAAUGAAAGUGUGUAAUGUUGUGCCUCAGAUUAUAUUGUCAUCUUUAUUUAUUUAUCUUUGUAUUUUUAUGUCUGCCAAAUGCCAAUCUGUUCUGUGAUAACUGUUUCCAAGACAGCUGGUGAAAGCAACUUUUAUGGUAUGGACUUAUUGCAAUCAGUAGUAUUAUCCUGUUGCCAUUAUGUCUACCCUGUAUAAUUACAUUAGUACCCAGCAUAGUUCAACAGUCCCUAUCAAAAUAUUGCAUGCAGAAGAUGCUAUUAAAAUAAUGAUUUUUCAGAGAAAAGGCUGGAGUGUAUUAGAGAGGGAUGAUCUUGAUGGUGAACUUGAUAAAUAAUGUGUAGAUAUGUUAACUGAUUUUGAACAGUGUGUAAAUUCUUCAUAGAAAUAUGAUGAAAAAUCAUUUACAUAUUACAGGGGAGAAUUGUGUGGAAUGAAG